rnacentral:lncRNA from 1 species
AUGGGGCUGCGGGCGAAAUUUUCCGAGCCUCCUCGCCUGCGGCGCCCCCUCCUCAGCUCCCUGAGCGCUCCCCUCCCCCGGGGCCCGCACACCCAGCCGAGGGAUGCAGGGUGCGCGGGGAUAUGCGAGGAUGCGCGGCGCUGCAGGCGCGGCCCAGGGCCCCUCGGGGGUCGCGUCACCGAGGAAGCGAAGCCGGGAGCUGGAUGGUCAAUGCCUUCCGCCCUGGGGGUAACAGUCCCCCUUCUCCAGCCCAGACCUCCCCAAAGCGCGCGCGGACCUCCCAAAGGAGCCGGGGGUGGGGUCCCCAAGCACCCCGCGCUCUCACCGCUUCUCCUCUGCUCUGCCUUCUUCUCCGGCUCAAGCUCCAGCCCGGUCGCCUCCUGGGCUCCCCCCGGAGUGGGAGGGAGCCUCGGUCCCGCCUCCGCGCCCUUUCUCUCCCAGGCCGCGCACCAGGGCGCUGGGCUUUCGGCGUGCGGACCUACUACCCUGCCGACCGACGGACGCGUGUGCCUGCUGCCGGACGCCGGAAUCCCGCGGCAGGGCUCUGGCUUUCAGCAGAUUCUUCUCCACGGAGGUUGUGACCCCAAAGAUUCAGAGUUGAUGCUGUAACACCCUUAUGUUACAGACAAGGAUCUGAGGAUUCCGGGAUGGAGAAGAAACUGGCUCAAAGUUACAUGGAAAUUUAGCAGCAAGUUGGAAAGAACCCAUGACUCCAGACUGUAUAAUGCUAUUUAAGGUCUGACUAAAUGUCACCUCCUGCAGGAAGCCUUCCCUGAACUUGUCCCAUCUUCCUCUGUGUUCCUUUGCACAUACCUUGAUGUGACACCCUAUAUCACAAUGAGCCACUUCAAUGGAAUUUGUCCCUGCUAGAAUGAGCCAUCCAUGAGAUCGGAGACUGUGUCUUACUCAUCUUUGUGUGGUGUGGCUGGUGUUUAUUACUUAAUCGCUAUCGUUUAUUGAGUGCCUAUUAUGUGCCAAGGCACUUUUGUAAUGCUCAUUCCAUUUCACAGUUGUCCCACAAGGUAGGUAAUAUUGUCCUCAUUUCACAUAUGGAAAAAAAUCUCCUGGAGCUCAGAGGUUUGCCCAAGUUCCCACAGAGAGUGAGUGGUAGUGCUGAGAUUUGAAUCCCAAACCCUUUUGCACCUCCCACUUCACCAGUGGUGUUUUUUCAGUCGUUAAUGAGUAGCAUCCCGCUGAGGAUCUGGAGCAGCAGGGCCCUAAUGGCCCCCUCUCCACUGGGCUCUGGAGCAUCUGGAAGUACAAAGCCCUGCUCCCAGGGCUUCCUGGGAGAAAAGGAUUCUAAGGAGGUGAAAGGAAUCUUUGAGGAGCUCACAAACCCCUGGGGAGAUGGCUCAGACACCAGUAGAGAAGCCAGUAGAACAAAAGCAAUCCAUCAUGAACUCUUUAAAAUUUACUGUAUGCCUGCAUGACAUGCCUAGCAGAGGAAUCCCAGGAUUUUCUCUUCUGUGUGUUUCUGUCUUGCUUCCUUGCGGCCAUAAUACCAGCUGAGGUCGUCAGUACAAUUACUUCCAACUGAUGAGAUUGGAGAAGACAAUUCUGCUACUUUUCUAGAUCUUUGAGUUACACAUCCAACCUGGGUCUGACUAUGCUUCUUUAACCUGUAUAUGAGGGAACUUCCAUAUGUGUGGGUGCAGCCCUAAAAAGCAAAAACAAAGAAACAUUGUUGGUGGGCAUGUGAAUUGGUGCAACCAUGUUGGGAAAUAGUCUGGCUUUAUCUCCUAAAGCUGAGCAGAUACAUAUCCUAUGACCCAGCAAUUUUCUUUUCUUUUUUUUUUUUUUUCUUUUUUGCUUUUUUAGGGCCACACCUGUGGCAUAUGGAUGUCCCCAAGCUAGGGGUCUAAUUGGAGCUACAGCUCCCAGCCUACACCACAGCCAUAGCAACACGCUGGAUCCGAGCCGCAUCUGCGACCUACACCACAGCUCAUGACAAUGCCAGAUUCUUAACCCACUGAGCAAGGUCAGGGAUUGAACCCUCAACCUCGUGAUUCCUAGUCGGAUUCACUUCCAUUGUGCCACGAUGGGAACUCCUAACCUAGCAAUUCAAAUCCAAAGUACCCACUGUGGAAAAAUUCUUGCCCAUCUACACCAAGAACUACAUGGAAGACUAUUCACGGGGGUGCUGGCCACAGUAGCCCAAAUUGGGAAACACCCACGUCCCCAUCUAUGGGAGAGCAGAUGAAUAAAUUCCCAUGAUAAAAUAUUACUUGGCA